rnacentral:tRNA from 1 species
GGGGAUUUGGCUCAGUGGUAGAGUGCUUGCCUAGCAAGCACAAGGCCCUGGGUUCGAUCCCCAGCUUCCA